UGGCUUGUAGCUCAGCGGUAGAGCAGUCGGCUGUUAACCGACUUGUCGUGGGUUCGAUUCCCACCUUGCCAG
rnacentral:tRNA from 1 species